rnacentral:rRNA from 1 species
UACGUAGGCAGCAAGCGUUGUUCGGAGUUACUGGGCGUAAAGGGUGCGUAGGCGGCUCUAUAAGUAUGGUGUGAAAUCUCCCGGCUUAACUGGGAGAGGGCCGUGACGACUGGGGGGCUUGAGGCUCGGAGAGGGACGUGGAAUUCCGGGUGGAGCGGUGAAAUGCGUAGAGAUCCGGAAGAACACCGACGGCGAAGGCAGCGUCCUGGCCGAGCACUGACGCUCAGGCACGAAAGCGCGGGGAGCGAACAGG